GCCGAAUUGAUUAGUAAUGCAGUAGUACACAUGUCAGACUGAUUAGUAAUGCAGUAGUACACAGGUUGGACUGAUUAGUAAUGUAGUAGUACACAGGUCGGACUGAUUAGUAAUGUAGUAGUACACAGGUCAGACUGAUUAGUAAUGUAGUAGUACAUAGGUCAGACUGAUUAGUAAUGUAGUAGUACACAGGUCAGACUGAUUAGUAAUGUAGUAGUACACAGGUCAGACUGAUUAGUAAUGUAGUAAUACACAGGUCAGACUGAUUAGUAAUGUAGUAGUACACAGGUCAGUGUGAUUAGUAAUGUAGUAGUACACAGGUCAGGCUGAUUAGUAAUGUAGUAGUACACAGGUCAGACUGAUUAGUAAUGUAGUAGUACACAGGUCAGUGUGAUUAGUAAUGUAGUAGUAC
ensembl:lncRNA